rnacentral:rRNA from 1 species
GACGAACGCUGGCGGCGUGCUUAACACAUGCAAGUCGAACGGAGAGGCCCUGCUUUUGUGGGGUGCUCGAGUGGCGAACGGGUGAGUAACACGUGAGUACCCUGCCCUUGCCUUUGGGAUAACUUCAGGAAACUGGGGCUAAUACCGGAUAGGAGCUCCUGCUGCAUGGUGGGGGUUGGAAAGUUUCGGCGGUUGGGGAUGGACUCGCGGCUUAUCAGCUUGUUGGUGGGGUAGUGGCUUACCAAGGCUUUGACGGGUAGCCGGCCUGAGAGGGUGACCGGCCACAUUGGGACUGAGAUACGGCCCAGACUCCUACGGGAGGCAGCAGUGGGGAAUAUUGCACAAUGGGCGGAAGCCUGAUGCAGCAACGCCGCGUGCGGGAUGACGGCCUUCGGGUUGUAAACCGCUUUCGCCUGUGACGAAGCGUGAGUGACGGUAAUGGGUAAAGAAGCACCGGCUAACUACGUG